rnacentral:tRNA from 1 species
CAAAUCGGGUUGCCCUGAAGCCCAACAGCUAGCCCCCCCAAACAAUUUCAAUAAUUCAACAUUCAUACCCCUUAAU